rnacentral:rRNA from 1 species
UUGCACGCUGGCGGCAGGCCUAACACAUGCAAGUCGAACGGUAACAGGAAGAAGCUUGCUUCUUUGCUGACGAGUGGCGGACGGGUGAGUAAUGUCUGGGAAACUGCCUGAUGGAGGGGGAUAACUACUGGAAACGGUAGCUAAUACCGCAUAACGUCGCAAGACCAAAGAGGGGGACCUUCGGGCCUCUUGCCAUCGGAUGUGCCCAGAUGGGAUUAGCUAGUAGGUGGGGUAACGGCUCACCUAGGCGACGAUCCCUAGCUGGUCUGAGAGGAUGACCAGCCACACUGGAACUGAGACACGGUCCAGGCUCCUACGGGAGGCAGCAGUGGGGAAUAUUGCACAAUGGGCGCAAGCCUGAUGCAGCCAUGCCGCGUGUAUGAAGAAGGCCUUCGGGUUGUAAAGUACUUUCAGCGGGGAGGAAGGGAGUAAAGUUAAUACCUUUACUCAUUGACGUUACCCGCAGAAGAAGCACCGGCUAACUCCGUG